UGUGUGUGUGUGUAUGUUGUUUUGUUUAUCCCAGUAGCAAGCCUCACUGAUAGAGCGCGCACAGAUGAGUUUUUCUCUCAAGACGUGACACAUUUCAUUUGGACUUAUUUCUUCAAAGAAAUCUGUGUUGCAAAAGUGAAGGGUCCAAAAUAACCUCACAAUUGAAAGGCUGUUCAUACCAUUUCAAGAAAACACCAGCAGCAAUUGUGCAACUCCACCAAGAGCUCACAAAGGAAAAAAGAAUGGAAGGAACGAGAACUCUUUGUCUGCUUCUCAUGCCGUUACUCUGUGACACCAAUGCAAACCUUUCACUUCCUGCAAUGGAGCCCAACCAAACUAACUAUGGUCCUACAAACUUUUUUGAUAAGCGCAACAAUGGCACACGAGCGGACUGCUUGGUUGAUGCGGAGAUGGGUCUGAUUGCUAUAGGUACAGCAGGGGGUCUGAUUGUGUGCCUACUGGUAUCUACUGUAGUACUGGCAUGCCAAAUCUGCCACAUUCGGCGCCAGGUUUAUGCUCCACGAAACUCCCACUCAAACAUGUACUUGGUAAGUAGUACAGACUACUGGGACACUAGCCCGCCAGAGAUUGGAGGACUGGUAGGGCCUUGUGAAACCAGUGUCAUGCUAGACGAGGUGAGCGCGGACAACAUGACAGAGGAUGAAAACCAAGCCGAAAAAGACAAGCAAGAUGAGGGGCCUCGGGUGGAAACUGAUCGCGGGGCUUCUGCUGCUGCUUUGAACCUUGAAGAUAGGGAAGGUCAGAUGCUGAGCUCAAGCUCAAAAGACUCUUGUUUAGAAAAUCCGAAAGAUCUUGAGGACAUGCCGCUUGUUGUGUGACACAGUCGACAUAGUCUGGUGAAACACCACUGAAGAUGACAGCAGCAAUUCCGUUAAGGAGCAAUGUAACAAGGUGUUGUUCUGUUCCCCUGAAGAUAACAAGAAGAAAACACCUAUCAUGGCCUAAACCAGUCGUCACCAACCUUUUUGAGCCGACAUGUCCUAUUGUAAUUUACCAAUGCAUAAAACUAAGGCAGGCACAACAUCAAAUUAAAAGCUCAAGUUCAAAAUUCUACACAUCACCUACAGUAUUCCAGGGGAAGAGUGGCCACUAACAACCUAUUUUUAUGCAGGACAGUCUUUCACCAGCCACGCCCGGAAACAACAACAACAACAACCCUAUUGUGAGCAUUCCGAGGGGACAUACCCUCCAGAGAUAUAAACAGGGAACCCCACAUUUAAGAUAUUCAGAACUGAAGAAGCCUUUUGGAUUAAAGGUGAAACGUCUUCAGCAAACAAGAAGAGUCCAGGUACCUUGAGUCAACCUUUGUGAAGUACCACAAUGUGGAUGACUGAGAAUCGACACAGACUUUUACAUAUGAGAAGACAAUGAGACUUUUUAUAAUUGCAGGGGACAUGUCCACAAAUUCACAGUCCAACAGCACGCCAAACAAACCUUAAACAGUAAUGACCUCUUCUCAGCCAGAACACGACUAUUCUAAGAUCAGGGACCUAUAGUCACUUAAUACUUUGUAGUGAAAAACAUUUGGUGAAAAUGUGGUUAAUUAACAGAAAGAAUAGCGAGUCUUGUUUUCCUUUUCCUCUUUUUCCCCAUGUGACUCAAGACCAAAUUUGAAACGCUAAUGUGUGCUAAUAACCCAUGCAGUGGAACCCCGGUUAGCGUGCGCCCCAGCUACCAUGCUUUACGGUUAACAUUUUAUGCCAUAACUUUGACUUGGUUUGCGUAUAUUUUCCUGUUAGCGUUCAGUAUAGCUGUGUUUACAUUUUCACGUAUUUUGCCUCCGCGUUGUCCUGCAAUUUGCCGUCGCAAUGCGUGCAAUUUAUUUAUGGCACUCCUGAAAAGCGCGACUAGUUUGCGCACCGUUUGCAUACCGUUUACGCAUAAAUUACACACUUAGCACGUAAUCCGUGACCAAAAAUUGUGCCCUGUAGCAAGUAAUGACAACGCUCCCACACGAUUUAUUUACACCUUGUCAAGUACUGUUUACAUCUAGUAAAUGACAACAGUACGUGCGGCGCGCAUUGUUCCCACAUGGGUCACCACCACUUCCCGCAUCCAUAACUAUAUAAAUGUGUUUUGUGUUAACACUUGACUUAUGGAAUGGAUUAAUGACACUAACCGCGGUUCCACUGUGUAUCAUAUAUUAAACUGUUUUCUGGUGAACUUUGCACUACCAUUUAAUGUCAUUUUCUAACCGCCUAUAAUUAGAUAUUCCUUGUGUUCACAAGAUUAACUUAAUUAGGGGCUGUACACUGCAACAUUUUUAAUGUUUUAAAUAAAAGUAUUUGUAAUUUGUGAGUGUGAUUGCGAUUGUGUUUAAAAUCAAAGACUUCUUUAACUCAUUCAAUACCAAAGAUGUAUUUAUACGUUUUUAGAAUCCCAAACGCCCAAUCCCAACAACGUAUAGAUACAUCUGUUGCGUUAUUU